rnacentral:rRNA from 1 species
UACGAAGGGGGCUAGCGUUGCUCGGAAUGACUGGGCGUAGAGGGCGCGUAGGCGGUGGACACAGUCAGGCGUGAAAUCCCUGGGCUCAACCUGGGGGCUGCGUUUGAUACGUGUUUGCUAGAGUGGGGAAGAGGGUCGUGGAAUUCCCAGUGUAGAGGUGAAAUUCGUAGAUAUUGGGAAGAACACCGGUGGCGAAGGCGGCGACCUGGUCCUUGACUGACGCUGAGGCGCGAAAGCGUGGGGAGCAAACAGG